ACUGAUGCGGUCCAUAGAGAAGCAGAGCAAUACGUUUAGCACCAACAUGGCAGCAGGUGUUGCCAGAAGGAGGCAUGCAAGGCACCAUCCAGCCAUCUUAGGGACUCCACUCCAGAUUAGUGUAGGGUUUACUCCUUAAGCCUUUCCUUUCUUCCAAAGAUAUUCUGCAAGGCAGUUGUGUAUUACAGCUGAACAUUUUAGUGUCAUGUCAAGCCAUAACCCAAGGUUUACUGUACACAAACAAACUGGAGAUUGGAGUGAAAUAAACCAUGAUUGGUACACCAAGAACAAACCUUGACUUAACAUCGUGGUUUAUUUUUCCUUACUCCAGCACUAGCCGCGAGGAGCAAAGACGUAAUUUGCUCAUCUACAGUAAGUCAUGACUUACAGUGAUGUGCACAGAUGGUCAGACACAAGUUGCAGUCUGUCUUUGAGAAAAACUGAUAUAUACAUGGAGUGCUAAAGUUUCUUAUAACAUUUUUGGGAUAAAGUUAGAAUAUUGGCACUUGCAGAGCUAGAGCACAUCACUGACACCUUGCCCAUUUUCCUUUUCUUAAGAAGCCACCUAGCAAGAUCCAAGAGCUGCAAAUAGGAGACACAGAAGAGGAUAGACCUUGUAUGAAAGAACAACUCAGCAAAACUCUGGAGAAGUUGAAUGAAAUGGAACAACUGAGGGAGAAAUUAAAAGCCAGUAAGCAGAAUUGAAGCGGAGUUAAUGGACAUGCUGACAGUAACUCAGAAACUUCAUGAGCAGGAAGAAGCAAUGACAGACUUAAUCCAGGAGCGAGAUUACCUGAAGGACAAAUUGAAUUCUCUCCAAGUGGAGAGGGAUCUCAUCAGUAAAGAGAUGCAAGGAGCGAAAUCAAUGGUCCAACAGAUAAGAGAAAGGUCUCUUGAACUGGCGCAAGUGUUUGAGUCAAAGGAAGAGCAAAGUCAGACGGAACGCAAUACACAGCAGCAAUCUUGAUAUUUUAUGGACCCUGUGGGCAAGCUUAUAAUGCUGAACUGGAAAUCAACUUGUGUUAAUUUUUAUCACUUCAUACUUAUUUAAAAGAAUAUACACAUUUUCACAAAUAUUUGUGUUGUUGAAACUGAAGUGAUCUUUCUAAAGUGUGGUGGUAUAGAGACAAAUUGAGAUGUGUGUGAGCUCAUCGUGACAACCGCUCCGUAGCCACAUCUCCAAGGGGAGUCCAAAAAAUGUAGGCAGCUGUAAUUGAUCCCUGAGCUGGCAAAAGCUGGUAUAGCGGUCAGCAUGUUGGAAUUUGGAUUGGAUGGCCUGGAUUUGGGUUAUUAAUCCAGCCUUGUGAAUGACUAUAGUCCUGUGCACUGUUCCGUGGAGAGUUAUCUCCAUUUAAUUCAGUGUCUGCUUUUGAAUAUAAUAGGCUGAGCUUGUAGAUCUUUAAACAAAGGUCUUCAGCCAGCCAGCAGUCUUGCAAAGUGUUUAAUGGGAUUUCUGCUUCAUGCUAACCAUUUAAGGAAGUCUCUAGCCUCUGCUCAAAUCUUUUCCCAUUUCCACUGCUGGAUUUAUGUAUAGGCUAAGUAGGCUGAAGCCUAGGGUCUCUAAAUCUAUGGGGCUUCCCCAGCCAGCCCAACACCCAGCAGGCAGUCUCCCCUCUCCCCAAAUUGCAAACCCAAGACUUCAUGCGAGGGCAGGGCAACUUGGGCCCAGCAACUAUGAGACUGGGGGCCAGCCAGUGGAGCCCAACUUGAAAUUCUGGGGCCCAACUUGAAUUUUUUUUGUGGGGCACUACUUCACAGCCAAAGUCUGCAAAAUCUUAAGAGAUAUAAAUCCAUGUGCUAGGUCAUUUUCACAAGGUCAGCAAAGCCCUUCAGAAGUCAGGUCUGUUACUGAGUUCUUAUGCAAGUUUGUACAGUUUUCUGUAUUUUUAAAGGAAAAUUAGAGAAGAUUUUGAUGAGCUUGAGAAAUAGGCAAAAGCCAACUUGCCCAAUGUCAAUUAUAAAACAAGGAGACAAAGAGUGAGGGCACGGCAAAGAAGUGACAGAAGUGCACCUGAUGCCUUAGAUGCACUUUCUUCAAGAGAUAAGUUUAGGAUAAAAUCCUUUAUUCCUAUAUUCCUUUAUUAGAUGCACUUGAAGCCAAUUUAAAAAGAGGUACUGUGUUGCAGAAUUGUUUUCCAUUCUUGCUAUCCUGAUAGUAUCUAAGCAAGGAAUUCAGCAAGGUGUAGAACUGUUGAUGGAAUAUCUACCCAGAAGAUAUUGACCUGAAACUUCUUGAGGAACUUUUGCACUUUCACCUAUAUGUGAGACUAAGCCAUAGGCACUGCACCGCCACUGGCUUUAAAUCGGAACGCUGUUCCUGUUCAUGUAUAAUGCUGGAGACACAUGCCUGAGAACCCCUCUUUACAUCAGGCUUGGGGACAGGUUGGUGUUAGGGAGAGGACAUGCUAGAGAGGAUCUUUCAUAGGUUUGGAUCUUCAGAGGAGGCCUGCAAGACGUCUCCAGUCUGAUUUGGCCCUUAUGCAGCGGAGAGCUGUAUAGCGCUGUGAGUGUAUGGCUUUUCCUUUAGUGUAAGGGGCUAACCGCGCAUCAGAGCCACCUUGCCAUAGAAGCCAACUCCUACGGACCAAAGAGAGAUCUCCCCUCCCAAUAAAAUAUAUGAGGGGGGCAGCCCCCCACCUCCGUUGACGGGCAUUACUAUUCAAAUUGUGUGUGUGCUGUGUCAUGUGAUUAUGUGGGACGGGGCUUACCUGCUGCCACCCCCAUUUUAUUCAAAUUGGCACCCCUUGUGCCAGCUCUCAAAGCGCCUUUAGAAACGCAAGGUGCACUUCUUAGGUAGAUACUUUGUCCACUUAGCUCAGGACUGUACUAACAGGAUUGUGUAUCUCAAGAGUUUCAGGCUGGGGAGGGGGGGUUAAAAGCUGCUUUAGGCCGAGUCAGAUCUCUGGCCCACCUAGGUCAGCCCUACCUGGAGAUCCAGGAAACCGAACCUGUGAUGCACCAGCAUGCACCCCUUAAAUGAUAAUUUUAGACUCUAGUCUUCACAAUGCUGAAAAGGGGAAAUAUUUAAGUAAUCUAAGAAGCUGCCUUAUGCAGAGCCAGCUCAUGGGACAAUCUAGCUCAGUACAGUGGUGGACCUUGGGGUCAGCAGUGCCCUAUGGGCUGCCAGAAUUCAGCUACCUCCACUUCUUGCCUUCCACUUUAUGUACAUCAUAUUCAGGACUUUAAAUUGUGCUUUUAUAUCAAAUUUCCUUUUCUGCGUAUAUUGUAAUAUUUUACUGUUGCUAUGGCCAUUGGAUAAUGUGAAUAAAGUUUUUUUU